CCAGGCUUAAUAAUGAGAAACACUAUUUAGCCGUCUGACCCAGUCACAAAAGGGUUAACUUUUAUUUCUUCUCUUUGAUGGACAUGUAAGUGAGCCAAUGGGUGAGCUCUGUGAGAUAGUGAGCUGACCAAUCAGCUGCCCGCUAGGCUCUGUUACAGUUACACCUCUAGUUUCGCGUCACUGCACGUUCUUUUGGCGCUUGCACUUGAGCAUAGAAGGCUGCGUUAUCUGCUUGAGUGUAAACGAAAGCUGUGCCUGUAUCCACUGUUGUCACGGAGCUAAAGGCAAUGGAUUCCGUUAAAAUGGUCAGGUUUUGGUAAAGAGUGGGAAACAUCGUGCAGAGGUCCUGGAGAGAUACAGAUCCAGACGUUCCGAACGUUCUUCGAGAGACUCAUUGAUUCCCAGUCCAGGUGGCUGGGUGGCGAGCCAACCGUGUUUGACAACGAAUCAAAUCGCUUUAGAUGAACUGUCCGGAUCAUCCUCUUCAUCUUCUUUGUGGUAGGACAAGCACUAACUCAACCUAAAAAAAUAAAGGGCCCCAACGUUGAAACUGCAUUCUUGUCUACAAAGGCAAGGUGAACCGAGGACAAUCUGAGCUCAAAAGUACUGAAUAAGAGGGUUUUGUUUUGUUUAUGUGCGCACUUUAUUAUUUUAGUUUGUUAUUUUUCAUAAAUGUGUUUUUUGUAUGUAUGUUCUACCCUGUGAUUUUAAUACAGGUUAUCUAAACUGUCAUUUUGGUGUGGUAUUCUUUUAUUUGAUGUUCAAGUCUCAGGCUCUUAAAAAUCUAGCGUCUGCUGAUUCUGGUCCACAUCGUAUCCAUAAUAACCUCUGUGCUAUUUUAGACUAUUAAACCUAUGUACAUUAUUUCUACUAUCUAGUAAUAAGGGUUACAUUAUUGGCGAGCCAGCCAGGAGCCAGAGACAUUGAAUAUCAAUAUUGAAAGAAUAUGCAAAAUGGAUUUCAUACAGAAGUCAGGUGUAAAAAUUCCUAAUGCAGUGAUCGUUAGUGGGGUAACCCAGGUAGCAGAUCAGGAUGAGCAAGUUGUUGACUUCCUUAAGAAGUACGGUUCC